CACCAGCCCAAUGCUCCUCCAACUGAGCUACCGUCCUGACCGCGUAGCUCAGUUGGAGGAGCAUUGGGCUGGUG